rnacentral:rRNA from 1 species
GACGAAGGUGGCUAGCGUUGCUCGGAAUUACUGGGCAUAAAGCGCGCGUAGGUGGUCCUGUAAGCGGGGGAUGAAAGCCCAUGGCUCACCCAUGGAACUGUCCUUCGGACUGCAGGGCUGGAGGGCGGGAGGGGAGAAUGGAAUUCCCGGUGUAGCGGUGAAAUGCGUAGAUAUCGGGAGGAACGCCGGUGGCGAAAGCGAUUCUCUGGCCCGUUCCUGACACUGAGGCGCGAAAGCUAGGGGAGCAAGCAGG